rnacentral:ncRNA from 1 species
GGAAGUUUUAUUUUGGCUUUUUAUUUUGUUAUUAUUAUGUUUUACAUGUAAAUUUUUGUGUGUUUAAUUUUAUUUUUUAAUAAAAUAAGAUUGUAUUUUAUUCGCAGUAUUUUAUAUUAAAUAUAAAGGUAGCUUUGAUUUGGUAAUAAUUAUUAUUAUAGGAUAAAUUUGUGCCAGCAUCUGCGGUUAUACAAAUUAUAAAAAUAAAAUUUAUUGGUUAGUAGUUAUUUUAUUAGUUUUAAAUUUUAUUAAUAAAAUAUUUAGGUGAAAUUAAUUUUUUAUAGUAAAGAUUUAUAUUUUAUAAGAAGCUACAAAAUUUUUUUAAAAGACUAGGAUUAGAUACCCUAUUAUUUAAAGUGUAAAUAUGAACCAGGGUAGUAUUAGAUAAGAUCUUCAAACCUAAAAAAUUUGGCGGUGCUUUAGUCUAUUUAGAGGAACCUGUUCCUUAAUCGAUAGCCCACGAUUUAUUUUACCUUUUUUUGUUUAGUUUAUAUACCGUCGUUAUCAGAAUAUUUUAUAAGGAUAUAAUUUUCUUUUAUUUAAAUUAAAAUUUAUUUCAGAUCAAGGUGUAGCUUAUAAUAAGGAGGAAAUGGGUUACAAUAAAUUUAUUUAAACGGAUUUUAAACUAAAAUGUUUUUAUUGAAGGUGGAUUUAAUAGUAAAUUUAAUUAACUUGUUAUUUUGAUUUUAGCUCUAAAGCAUGUACACAUCGCCCGUCGCUCUUUUUAAUUAAAGAUAAGUCGUAACAAAGUAGAUGUACUGGAAAGUGUAUCUAGAAUG